rnacentral:rRNA from 1 species
AUUGAACGCUGGCGGCAGGCCCAACACAUGCAAGUCGCACGAGUGGCGGACGGGUGAGAAAUGUCUGGGAAACUGCCUGAUGGAGGGGGAUAACUACUGGAAACGGUAGCCAAUACCGCAUACCAUCGGAUGUGCCCAGAUGGGAUUAGCUAGCAGGUGGGGUAAAGGCGAACCAAGGCGACGAUCCCUAGCUGGUCUGAGCGGAUGACCAGGCACACUGAAACUGAGACACUGUCCAGACUCCUACGGGAGGCAGCAGUGGAGAAUAUUGCACAGUUGGCGCAAGCCUGAUGCAGCCAUGCCGCGUGUAUGAAGAAGGCCUUCGGGUUGUAAAGUACUUUCAGCAGGGAGGCGUUAACCGCAGAAGAAGCACCGGCUAGCUCCGUGCCAGACGCCGCGGUAAUUC